UACGUAGGGGGCAAGCGUUGUCCGGAAUCAUUGGGCGUAAAGCGCGCGUAGGCGGCCCGGUAAGUCCGCUGUAAAAGUCAAAGGCUCAACCUUUGAAUGCCGGUGGAUACUGUCGGGCUAGAGUCCGGAAGAGGCGAGUGGAAUUCCUGGUGUAGCGGUGGAAUGCGCAGAUAUCAGGAGGAACACCAAUAGCGAAGGCAGCUCGCUGGGACGGUACUGACGCUCAGGCGCGAAAGCGUGGGGAGCGAACAGG
rnacentral:rRNA from 1 species